UCAACUUAUGCUUAUGGUGGGAAGCUUGGUCGAGAGGCCAAGUGCGCUUAAAUUUGGCUUGGCUUGGCUACCUAGAAGGGGGCUCGAGGUUCGUCACCCGACUAGGGCAGAGUUGUGUUUACUGAGCGCCUAAAUUCCUAGAUACCCCCAGAUUGGACCAAAAGCGCUCUGAGCAUGCUAUAAGCAUGAAUAAUAAUGCUUUUACUAGAAUGACAUUUUCUUUAAGUGAAUACAGGCUUAAACUAGCGGUUCAUUAAAAGUUCAAAAAUUAUUUUAAAAAGUGAACGUAGACAAAAAAAACUUAGACCAGAUAUUUAGGCUUUUUACCACAUGAGAAAAAAAAAUGUCGAAACUGUUAUGUUCCCAUUUUAGACCUUGCGAUCUAUAGGGAAGAUGUCAUCUGUUUCGUUGGCCAACGGUUAGCGACCAACCACAUUUACUUUCCCCAACUAGAUUCAGGUACCCAUUAGAGCUGGGUGGAAUCAGGGGUUCCCUAAAAUUCCCUAUAUUCAAAAUCCCAGUCCUCACCCAGAUUCGAACUCAGGACCCCAGGUUUGGAAGCCAAGCGCUAAACCACUCAGCCGGCGCAACCCCCCACCCCCUUUACUUUCCGAAACUGUUAUAUAGUACACAAAUUGCUACGUUUUUACAUAAUUAAAAAUGUGAACUUAAUUAUAAGUAAUUAUUUUAUAUCUUUGUGAAUUUCUAACCGUACAAAACCCUGUGCACUGGCGGAUCCAGGGAGGGGGGCAGUACUUGCAAUAUUCCCCCUCCCACUCAGACAAUUUUAGUAAAGAAAUCACACAAUUUGUAUACGGAUUUAUAAGGCAGAUAAGUUAUCAAAGGCAGGUUCAUCUAUGGAACAACCAGAUAGACCUGUUAACUACCUCACCCUAAGGUCAAUGUUAGUCAACAAUCACAAAGAGGAGGGGCUCAACCAAUGGGCAUCAGGAAACACAGGCAGAGCCAUGUACAGAGAAAUGACUACGCCUAACAAACUGGACAGUAUUAACUUCCUCCCCGCAAAGAACAAUCUACAAUCUUCCAACUAAGAACAGGACACACACCACUAUUAAAUUACCACCUGAACAAAAUAAACUCCACACAACUACCCCUUUGCAGACAUUGCGCCCACUCCUUUGAAACCGUAAACCAUAUCCUCUUUGAAUGCCCCUCCCUAAUCCACCUUAGGCAGUGUUAGACACCUUAUUUAUAUAGGUUAGUUAUUUUAGUUAUUUAGCGACGCACCAUAGUAGACGCAUAUUGAACGGGACUAGUGACGUUUGGGAUAUGUUGGGUUAGAGACCGGAAAAUCAGUUAGCGUUAGAACACUCCAGGGUAACGACGUGUUUAGUGACAGAGACUUCUACUGUGGCCUUUUAUCAUAAUAAAUAUAUAUUAACUUGUUCAUCAUCGUUGACUACAUCUCUUCACCUGUUACAAUUGAUGUGCCAGUUCUUGUUUGUGUUGUUGGUCAACUACACGUAAUACACCCGAACAAUUACACCCAAACGAUUGCAGAGUAAUUGGUUGACUUCAAGACAGCCUGAACUAGCAACAUCACAGUGGCGACCCCGAACCUCGAAGCCCGACGAACAUCGUACCGGACCUCGAAGCAGAACGUUUACUCAGGUGAGGGUCGUGCACUCGAAGUUAUAAGAUUUCAUCGGAGUACGGCUGAACACAGCAUCAUCGCAGAGUGACUUUGUUCUAGAUCUACAAGCAGUCGUCGCCUGUUUGAUCGCACGUUCAACGAGCCGUUAACUCAGGGUGACCUUCGUCAGGACCGUAAUCAUCGCAACGCCUGAUCUUCAUAUGCUGAAUCGACCUACAACCAGAGAAACCGUUCAUUCAUAACGGGUGAGAGAUCGUUAGUGAACCUGUUGGACAUAUUUUUUCUUCGUCAUAGGAGCCACAUUGAGUAUCAAGUUUUACCUCGCCAGUUCGAGAAGGACAGUUUGCCCGCUGUCAGAAGUAUUGUGAGUACUACAAGUUUGGUAGCUAACUAAAUCGAAAUCGCUCUGUCGUCUUACCCUUGGAGAGAUUCUUGUGGAGCAGUUUGCUCAUUGAACCGGUUGCUUGCCACGUUUAUAACGGUCACUGUGUUUAACCUUUGGAAGGUUAGUGAAGUAAUCUUUAUCAGUACUGAACAUUGAUCUAUCUAGUAUUCGUCGGUCUAGACCAUAUCUAGACGUGCUGAUAUUGUUGUGGAAAUAGCUACAUCCACUUAAUUUCGUUGAAAACCGUUAAUCGUCUAACGGAACGUCGUCGGAGGUGACCUUGGUCUCACCUAGUCUACAUUGGACAGUUUGGUUUAUUGAAGCAGAGUACAACAGCAAACUUCGUCGUACUACCAGAGUAGCAGCAGAAGCAGUGAACUAUUUUAGAGAACCGUUAUUCGUCAGCCCAGAUCAAGUCAUCGUCGAGAAAGUCGUUAUUCGUCAGCCCAGAUCAAGUCAUCGUCAAGAAAGCCGUUAUUCGUCAGCCCAGAUCAAGUCAUCGUCAAGAAAUUCGUUAUUCGUCAGUCGUCCAGAUCAAGUUGCCGUCAAGAGACUGUUAUUUGUCAGUAGUCGUCUACACAAGUCAAGUCAUCGCCAGAAGAACCGUUAACCUAUUCGUCAGUAACUGUGUACACAAAGUCGUCGGAACUACACAUACGGUCAUCAACAGUCGUCGAAGAAACUAGAACAUUUUGCUGUGGCAUAUCAGGACAUCUGUGGCAUUACGUGGGAUACUGGUAGCACCGGAGAGCAGAGUCAGAACUGGAAGAGAGGCAGUGGAAUUUGUUGUGAUCUAGCAUAUUCGGGAGUCCGAACAAAGGGAUCUUUCUUAUCAAAAGCUAAGUGCCAUUUUUCUUAUUAGUGUAUGUUUAGAUUGCCCUUAGAAAUAGAUUUUGUCUAAAUUUGGUACGUUAGCCUGAGUAAAAUCAGGUGGUGCGCCUUAAAACCCGUCGGGGUAGAAGACGUAAUUUAGAUGAAAAGCUAUAUUAUACGUUUAGGAUUGUAAUUUGUUUUGUUUGUAUAAACGUCAUAUCCGUUGUUGCCUGGUUACUUCGUGACGUUAUCAUUGUGUGCCAUAUUGUCACAUCCCAACCCAUAGCGAUAGUCUCAUUUUAAUUAUUUCAUUUGUUUAUAUUAUUUUAAAUUAUUUAUUUUUAUUAAUUUAAUUAGAUCUGUAUUUUUUUUUCACUUAAUGAUAGAAAGUGCGGGUAGGAUUCUUUUACUGUGAAUCAGACUAAAAUAAUUUUAGUUUGAGCGGUUAAAAUCAAAUAUGAUUUUGCCAUGAGAAUAAUGCCGAAACUGGCUAUGUAGUCAAACACUAUCGUCUGGCUAAAUUUAGAUCUGCAAAUUGUUGUACAUCUCUUUGGUACAAUUUGAUUAUCUAGACUCUACUUUGAAAUAUUAUUAAGUUGAAGAUGAAUGAAGAUUACUGCCAGUAAAGAACAUUUGAGAUGUGUAGGACAUGCCCAUAAGAUGCCACAUUUUCCUCCAUGAUGAACUGUGUACCAAUGAAGAUGAUUCUGGAAUGUUAUGAACUGUUAUGAACAUUGACAUGAAUAUGAGGAACUGUCAAGAUGAAGAUGUCAAGAUGAAGAGAUCAAGAUUUUAUGUUUGUGGUCUUCCCCUUAAAUUGAAAAUGCCCUUGUAAGACUUGACAGUAGUGGAAAAAUAUUGACAUAUUUUUUUUUCAAGGGGGGGAGGAAUCUGUUAGACACCUUAUUUAUAUAGGUUAGUUAUUUUAGUUAUUUAGCGACGCACCAUAGUAGACGCAUAUUGAACGGGACUAGUGACGUUUGGGAUAUGUUGGGUUAGAGACCGGAAAAUCAGUUAGCGUUAGAACACUCCAGGGUAACGACGUGUUUAGUGACAGAGACUUCUACUGUGGCCUUUUAUCAUAAUAAAUAUAUAUUAACUUGUU